UACGGAGGGGGCAAGCGUUGUUCGGAAUUAUUGGGCGUAAAGAGUAUGUAGGCGGCUAUUUAAGUCAGACGUGUAAGCCCACGGCUCAACCGUGGAAUUGCGUUUGAAACUAUUUAGCUUGAGUUCAGGAGAGGAAGGCGGAAUUCCCAGUGUAGCGGUGAAAUGCAUUGAUAUUGGGAAGAACACCGGUGGCGAAGGCGGCCUUCUGGUCUGAUACUGACGCUGAGAUACGAAAGCGUGGGUAGCAAACAGG
rnacentral:rRNA from 1 species